GAUGAACGCUGGCGGCGUGCCUAAUACAUGCAAGUCGAGCGAACGGACGAGAAGCUUGCUUCUCUGAUGUUAGCGGCGGACGGGUGAGUAACACGUGGAUAACCUACCUAUAAGACUGGGAUAACUUCGGGAAACCGGAGCUAAUACCGGAUAAUAUUUUGAACCGCAUGGUUCAAAAGUGAAAGACGGUCUUGCUGUCACUUAUAGAUGGAUCCGCGCUGCAUUAGCUAGUUGGUAAGGUAACGGCUUACAAAGGCAACGAUGCAUAGCCGACCUCUGAGUUUGAUGGUCCACAUUGUCACUGUGACACCUUCCCUUGUCCUACGGUACGCAGCAGUGGGGAAUCUUCCGCAACGGGCGAGAGCCUUACGGUGCAGCGCCGCGUGAGUGCUGAAGCUCUUCGGCUCGUAAUUCCCUGUUAUUAGUGAUGAACAUAUGUGUAAGUGACUGUGCACAUCUUGACGGUACCUGAUCAGAAAGCAGCGGCUAACUACGUG
rnacentral:rRNA from 1 species